rnacentral:rRNA from 1 species
GGGACACGUGGUAUCCUGUCUGAAUAUGGGGGGACCAUCCUCCAAGGCUAAAUACUCCUGACUGACCGAUAGUGAACCAGUACCGUGAGGGAAAGGCGAAAAGAACCCCGGCGAGGGGAGUGAAAAAGAACCUGAAACCGUGUACGUACAAGCAGUGGGAGCACGCUUAGGCGUGUGACUGCGUACCUUUUGUAUAAUGGGUCAGCGACUUAUAUUCUGUAGCAAGGUUAACCGAAUAGGGGAGCCGAAGGGAAACCGAGUCUUAACUGGGCGUUAAGUUGCAGGGUAUAGACCCGAAACCCGGUGAUCUAGCCAUGGGCAGGUUGAAGGUUGGGUAACACUAACUGGAGGACCGAACCGACUAAUGUUGAAAAAUUAGCGGAUGACUUGUGGCUGGGGGUGAAAGGCCAAUCAAACCGGGAGAUAGCUGGUUCUCCCCGAAAGCUAUUUAGGUAGCGCCUCGUGAAUUCAUCUCCGGGGGUAGAGCACUGUUUCGGCAAGGGGGUCAUCCCGACUUACCAACCCGAUGCAAACUGCGAAUACCGGAGAAUGUUAUCACGGGAGACACACGGCGGGUGCUAACGUCCGUCGUGAAGAGGGAAACAACCCAGACCGCCAGCUAAGGUCCCAAAGUCAUGGUUAAGUGGGAAACGAUGUGGGAAGGCCCAGACAGCCAGGAUGUUGGCUUAGAAGCAGCCAUCAUUUAAAGAAAGCGUAAUAGCUCACUGGUCGAGUCGGCCUGCGCG